UACGUAGGUGGCGAGCGUUGUCCGGAUUUAUUGGGCGUAAAGCGCCCGCAGGCGGCUCGACAAGUUUCAGGUGAAAUCUCCCGGCUUAACUGGGAGGGGUCCUGGAAAACUGUCAGGCUUGAGGCAGGGAGAGGGAUGUGGAAUUCCCGGUGUAGUAGUGAAAAUGCGUAGAUAUCGGGAAGGAACACCAGUGGCGGAAGGCGGCAUCCUGGCCCUGUCCUGACGCUCAGGGGCGAAAAGGCGUGGGGAGCAAACCGG
rnacentral:rRNA from 1 species